rnacentral:rRNA from 1 species
GACGAACGCUGGCGGCGUGCCUAAUACAUGCAAGUCGAACGCACAGUUUAUACCGUAGCUUGCUACACCAUAGACUGUGAGUUGCGAACGGGUGAGUAACGCGUAGGUAACCUGCCUGGUAGCGGGGGGUAACUAUUGGAAACGAUAGCUAAUACCGCAUAAUAUUGAUUAUUGCAUGAUAAUUAAUUGAAAGGUGCAAUUGCACCACUACCAGAUGGACCUGCGUUGUAUUAGCUAGUAGGUGAGGUAACGGCUCACCUAGGCGACGAUACAUAGCCGACCUGAGAGGGUGGUCGGCCACACUGGGACUGAGACACGGCCCAGACUCCUACGGGAGGCAGCAGUAGGGAAUCUUCGGCAAUGGACGAAAGUCUGACCGAGCAACGCCGCGUGAGGGAAGAAGGUUGUCGGAUCGGAAAGCUCGGUUGUAAGAGAAGAACGGGUGUGAGAGUGGAAAGUUCACACUGUGACGGUAUCUUACCAGAAAGGGACGGCUAACUACGUG